AUUGAACGCUGGCGGCAUGCCUUACACAUGCAAGUCGAACGGUAACAGGUUAAGCUGACGAGUGGCGAACGGGUGAGUAAUAUAUCGGAACGUGCCCAGUCGUGGGGGAUAACGUAGCGAAAGCUACGCUAAUACCGCAUACGAUCUACGGAUGAAAGCGGGGGAUCGCAAGACCUCGCGCGAUCGGAGCGGCCGAUCGCAGAUUAGGUUGUUGGGGAGGUAAAAGCUCACCAAGCCUGCGAUCUGUAGCUGGUCUGAGAGGACGACCAGCCACACUGGAACUGAGACACGGUCCAGACUCCUACGGGAGGCAGCAGUGGGGAAUUUUGGACAAUGGACGCAAGUCUGAUCCAGCAAUGCCGCGUGCAGGACGAAGGCCUUCGGGUUGUAAACUGCUUUUGUACGGAACGAAACGGUGAGCUCUAAUACAGUUUGCUAAUGACGGUACCGUAAGAAUAAGCACCGGCUAACUACGUGCCAGCCGCCGCCGUAA
rnacentral:rRNA from 1 species